GAUGAACGCUGGCGGCGUGCCUAAUACAUGCAAGUCGAGCGAACAGACGAGGAGCUUGCUCCUUUGACGUUAGCGGCGGACGGGUGAGUAACACGUGGGUAACCUACCUAUAAGACUGGGAUAACUUCGGGAAACCGGAGCUAAUACCGGAUAAUAUUACGAACCGCAUGGUUCGAUAGUGAAAGAUGGCUUUGCUAUCACUUAUAGAUGGACCUGCGCCGUAUUAGCUAGUUGGUAAGGUAACGGCUUACCAAGGCAACGAUACGUAGCCGACCUGAGAGGGUGAUCGGCCACACUGGAACUGAGACACGGUCCAGACUCCUACGGGAGGCAGCAGUAGGGAAUCUUCCGCAAUGGGCGAAAGCCUGACGGAGCAACGCCGCGUGAGUGAUGAAGGUCUUCGGAUCGUAAAACUCUGUGAUUAGGGAAGAACAAACGUGUAAGUAACUGUGCACGUCUUGACGGUACCUAAUCAGAAAGCCACGGCUAACUACGUG
rnacentral:rRNA from 1 species